CUCCCUGUAGCUCAGUGAUGUUAGAGCGUCCGACCGGUGUUCGAACAGCCUUGGGUUCGACUCACGCCGGGGACU